CGACGUGAGGAACCUGCCUUGAAGAGGGGGGAAACAGUUGGAAACGACUGCUAAUACCGCAUGACGCAUAGAGGUCGCAUGAUCUUUAUGCCAAAGAUUUAUCGCUUCAAGAUGGCCUCGCGUCUGAUUAGCUAGUUGGCGGGGUAACGGCCCACCAAGGCGACGAUCAGUAGCCGGACUGAGAGGUUGAACGGCCACAUUGGGACUGAGAUACGGCCCAG
rnacentral:rRNA from 1 species